GACGAACGCUGGCGGCGUGCUUAACACAUGCAAGUCGAACGGAAAGGCCUUUUCGGAGGUACUCGAGUGGCGAACGGGUGAGUAACACGUGGGUGAUCUGCCCUGCACUCUGGGAUAAGCCUGGGAAACUGGGUCUAAUACCGGAUUGGACCGCACUUUAGUGUGUGUGGUGGAAAGUUUUUUCGGUGUAGGAUGAGCCCGCGGCCUAUCAGCUUGUUGGUGGGGUAAUGGCCUACCAAGGCGGCGACGGGUAGCCGGACUGAGAGGUUGGUCGGCCACAUUGGGACUGAGAUAAGGCCCAGACUCCUACGGGAGGCAGCAGUGGGGAAUAUUGCACAAUGGGCGCAAGCCUGAUGCAGCGACGCCGCGUGGGGGAUGACGGCCUUCGGGUUGUAAAAUCCUUUCGCCAGGGACGAAGCGUUUUGUGACGGUACCUGGAGAAGAAGCACCGGCUAACUACGUG
rnacentral:rRNA from 1 species